rnacentral:lncRNA from 1 species
GCAAUAAUUCCCUUAAGGGUCGAUUGACCAUUUUGAUCAUGCUGACUUACAAACAACGGGUUGUAACUUGCCUGAUUGGUCUGAAAAUUUCAGGGCAGAUUGACCUUGACCUAAUAAACAAAUUCAUUCCCGUCAAAUUUGUUCUCCAUGCUUUGGUUUCUGAGAUAUGAGCCAAAAACUGCAUGUACUAUUUUAGCCAUGUUGCCCAUAUUGGUUCGCAGGCAGGGUCAUCGGGCACAUUUUUUCAACUAGAAACCCUAAUGAUGAUUGUGGACAAGUUUGAUUAAAUUUGUUUUAAUAGUUUCAAGAG